rnacentral:rRNA from 1 species
GAUGAACGCUGGCGGCGUGCCUAAUACAUGCAAGUCGAGCGAACAGAUGAGUAGCUUGCUCCUCUGACGUUAGCGGCGGACGUGUGAGUAACACGUGGAUAACCUACCUAUAAGACUGGGAUAACUUCGGGAAACCGGAGCUAAUACCGUAUAAUAUCUUGAACCGCAUGGUUCAAUAGUGAAAGCCGGUUUUGCUGUCACUUAUAGAUGGAUCCGCGGCGCAUUAGUGAGUUGGUAAGGUAUCGGCUUCCCAGGGCGACGAUGCGUAGCCGACCUGAGAGGGUGAAGGGCCACAGUGAGACUGAGACGCGGUACAGAGUCUGAGGGGAGGCAGAGGUAGGGAAGGGAGCGAAAAGGGCGGAAGCCUGAAGGAGGAACGCCACGUGGGUGAAGAAGGGCUGCGUAUCGGAAGACUGUGUUAUGGGGGAAGAACGAAUGUAGAAGGAACGAAGCUUGUCGUGACGGUACCUGAACAAGAAGCAACGGCUAACUACGUG